GAUGCAGUCGUUUAGUGACUUUUUCUUUUACUAUCUCGUGAUGUCGCUUUUAUAUUGCGCUCAUUAACGAAGGAGGAACUUCUGGGCCGAAUAUGAUGCGUCAUACGGGAGGAACUAAUUCAACAGCAACCUACUGCAACACAACCUCAGUGAUCCCUUUGUUUGAUUUGCGGACGGACGUGAUUCGUAGUGUUGGAGGAUACCGUCUUCAAAUGCUUCCGCACAACAGUGAAAAGCAGUGCCGAAGUUCCUUCUCGACAACGCGCUCUGUGGCGAGGAGAAAUGCUUUGAAGUCAGGGCACAUCGGGAAGUCGGCACAUUGCCCCAAGACCAACGGACGCCCGGCAAUCGGCAGCGCGGCACAUCGCCACAAGACGGACGGACGCGUGUUUUUCGUGCCUAAGCCUCUUCCUCUGCAGAUGACGUUGGUGAUUAAUAUCUGUGAGCAGCACUGACCUAUGCCUGAGUGAAGAGACAUAUAAGUAGGCGACAAACCUUCACGAGGUUGGCUACCCAAGUUAGUUCCUGGUGCUCGUUGCAGAAGGCCUGCUCAAACAGUCACUGCAGAGGCAGAUGUGUGCUGAAUGGCAGGGGGUGCCACCAUUAACAAGAUAAAGGAUGCUGCAGGACUGUAUAUCACAGCCUUUCACACAACUUAAAAAGCACAGCAAGCAGACAUCAACUUUGUCUAUUCUGCACCAAACUAGGUAGCAUUUACCAGGAAUGCCACAAGUGUAAAAUGUAAAAAAAACGGUAAAGUGUUGUCAAAUGCAGAGCAUACAUUAUAUAUCACAUUGGAUUAUUCUGUGGAAGAAGCUACAUAGGCUAAACAGGCAGAUGUGCGAAUGAGGCUGCGUGAGCACAGUAACAAAGUGAAGAUAACGGCACCAAAUGGUUUGUUGUUCCUUCAAUUCUUAAAAUGUGGCUGCCGUUCCUGUUUUGAAAGUACCGUAUUCUAGGUAGAAAUGGGUGUGAGUUGACUCAACAGAAUGAGUGGAUUGUCAGGGCUGGUCACGUAUGUAUUAGCAACUAUUUUGUGUUGUCAAAAAAAAAUCGGAAUUCCUGCAUAUGAGCUGAGAUUACCGUGCAAGCGUCAGCAUUUUUUUUUGCAAUUGUUUGCUGUUGUACUAAUGAUUACACUUAUACAUGUAUUCUCUGACGCACAAGCCGAGGUACAAGAUGGGGUACCGGGAAA